GACGAACGCUGGCGGCGUGCUUAACACAUGCAAGUCGAACGGAAAGGCCCUGCUUUUGUGGGGUGCUCGAGUGGCGAACGGGUGAGUAACACGUGAGUAACCUGCCCUUGACUUUGGGAUAACUUCAGGAAACUGGGGCUAAUACCGGAUAGGAGCUCCUGCUGCAUGGUGGGGGUUGGAAAGUUUCGGCGGUUGGGGAUGGACUCGCGGCUUAUCAGCUUGUUGGUGGGGUAGUGGCUUACCAAGGCUUUGACAGGUAGCCGGCCUGAGAGGGUGACCGGCCACAUUGGGACUGAGAUACGGCCCAGACUCCUACGGGAGGCAGCAGUGGGGAAUAUUGCACAAUGGGCGGAAGCCUGAUGCAGCAACGCCGCGUGCGGGAUGACGGCCUUCGGGUUGUAAACCGCUUUCGCCUGUGACGAAGCGUGAGUGACGGUAAUGGGGAAAGAAGCACCGGCGAACUACGU
rnacentral:rRNA from 1 species